UAGAAGGCUUUCUUGGGUUCCGUAGUAUUAUGUUUAACUAGCUGGUCCGAGGGAAAGCUUGUAACACGGAAGGGAAAAAGCCUGGGAGAU
rnacentral:sRNA from 2 species